rnacentral:lncRNA from 1 species
CGCCCUGGAGCAGCUGCCCUUCCGACCCUGCCUGGGCUAUGACUCAUCUCCGGCGGAGGAGAAAGGGGCCUUUGUGAGCCCCCAGCUCCGGCGUCUCCCGGACAACACCGCCCCCCGGUGGCCGCGAGCCGCGAGGGCUGGGGAAGCCGCCCGAGAGGCAGCGCCCGAGCUCCCCACGAGCUGCGGUGCCAUUGGAAGCGUCAGCGCCCGCCCCUCGGAGUCCAGCCCUGUCGCGGGGAAGAAAGGGGGAGGAACCGCCAACCCCUAGAGGGCAAGUGGGCUCAGCCCUAGGAAAUGCUCCAACCCCUCCCACACGCCCCGGGAAACGGUAUCCCAGAGCUCCGCUCCCUGGAGACCCCUCCAGAGAGGGACCUGGGGCCCCGCCCCGCAGCUGGAGAAGGGGUGAAUGCCUUUCCUGCCGAAAGCCUGGUCAGCCGCCCUGCUUGUUGCGUCUCCAAGACCACGUGUCUGCUACAUUUUAAAAUUAGAUUGGAACAUCUGACUUACUCCUUUUCGGCUGUGCUGUCAAGAGAGAAUGACCUCUACCAAGCAAGAAGGGCCAAGAGUUGGGGUGCAGGUGAGACCAUUUCUGACUCCCAGGCCACUUCCUCCUUUGUCACUGGAGAAAGGUCCCUCUUCUCCUUUUGUCACUUUGCAAAUGUCUGCAGCUGCCUUGGCCAAGUGUGGGAUCAGGUCACAUUGCUCUGCCGAGGGCUGGGCUGGGGCCCAGGAAGCCAGACUCUCCAGAUCAGCCUGCCCUGUCCUCCCACCCACCUCUUCCCAGCCCCUGCAAGAAUUCAGUUAGCCCGGAGGAAGAAGGCAACAGCCCUUGGGGGUGUUUUACUGGGCUCCUCAAACAUGGCUGCAGCCCUUCCCAGGAAGCCAGGUUAAGAGAAAACUACAGAACAGAUGGGGCCUGGGAAGGAGGAAGCAUUGGACUGAAGAGGCACAGAGACGAGCAGGGAGAGGGCUGAGUGAUGCAGGUGCAGCCUCCGGGCUGGCUCCAGGCCUUAGACACACAUGGCAGGCCUUCACUUAGUGCCGGGACAGCUCCAGUGGGCAAGCAGAACAACUUUCUUGUUUUUCUGUACCUGUGCCCCAUUUCUGAUUCGGAGUUCCUUUGCCAUUAGGCUGGUGGGGAAAAAUAUGUAACUUCUUUCUUUCUUUAUUUUUUGGAGACAGAAUUUCACUCUGUCGCCCAGGCUGGAGUGCAGUGGUUCCAUCUCGGCUCACUGCAACCUCCACCUGCAGGGUUCAAGCAUUUCUCCGGCCGCAGCCUCCCGAGUAGCUGGGACGACAGGUUCAUGCCACUGUACCCAGCUAAUUUUUGUAUUUUUAGUAGAGAUGGGGUUUCACCAUCUUGCUCAGGCUGGUCUCAAACUCCUAGGCCCAAACAAUCCACCUGCCUCAGAUGCCGCUAGGAUUACCACCCCACCUGGCCUAAAUAUGUAACUUCUUCCAGGAUUUAUGUCCUAGUUCCAAGGUCUUUGUGCAACAUCACGUGGUAGGAUUUGGUCCUCAGAAAACUGUCCAUCACUCUGACGCUGUCCUUGCUGCACUGCCAGAGCCCCUUCAGGGCCAAUGUUUUCUUGUUACUUCAACGUGGUCAGCCUAGAGGAUCUCACUACCUCCCCGAGAACUGCUCCAGGGCCACAGAUCUCUUGCCAUCUGUCAUUCCUUUCUGGGACAGGAGACCCUGCUGGUUCUGGAGGAAUGUGGGGUCUGGUCUCCCCUCUACUUCCGGCCAAGGUGCCUUGAGCAUUUGCACGAAUCUUCUCUUCACUUUUUCUCGCUUCUAGACACAGCUCAGUUCCCUAAGGGUUCAGGCCUUUAAGAAAGAGUUUUAGGGUACUACUCACUCUGCCCCUGCCCUCGAUGCUGCUUGAAUGCGGGAAAGGAAAUGGGAAAAUACAGGAAGAAAAACGAACAUCAAUGAGUGUCUCAAAAUAAUAUCCUGCCACAUACAUUAUCCCAUUUAAUCUCACCACAAUCCUCUGAGUGUUUUUGUUUUUGUUUUUUUAGACAGAGUUUCACUCUUGUUGCCCAGGCUGGAGUGCAGUGGGGUGAUCUUGGCUCACCGCAACCUCUGCCUCCCGGGUUCAAGCUAUUCUCCUGCCUCAGCCUCCCAAGUAGCUGGGAUUACAGGCACGCGCCACCCACCACGCCCGACUAAUUUUAUAUUUUUAGUAGAGAUGGGGUUUCUCCAUGUUGGUCAGACUGGUCUCAAACUCCCGACCUCAGGUGAUCCGCCUGCCUCGGCCUCCCAAAGUGUUGGGAUUACAGGCAUGAGCCACUGCACCAGCCUACAAUCCUCUGAUGUUAUCCACAUUUUACAGGUGGGGAAACCAAGGCUUAAUAAGGUCACAUAACUAGUAAUUCUGUGUCCUUCCCACCUAUAUUCCUGAAAACACUGAGGCAGAUCCCAAACUUUUUUUUUUUUUUGUACACAGAACUCUUUUCUCUCCUUCCUUCUUCCCUCCCUCCCUCUGUCUCUCUCUCUCUCUCUCUUUCUUUCUUUCGAGACGGGGUCUUGCUGUGUUGCCCAGGCUGGUCUCAAGUGAUCCUCCCACCUUGGCCUCCCCAGCGUACUGGGAUUACAGGUGCACCUGGCCCACAGAACUCUUUAUUCAAAAGAAUCUCCCUUGAAAAACCGGAAAGUGUGUUGCUGCUCUGGUCGAAGGCAACUGGGAUGAGGAGCUCAGGGGUUGCCUCCUUAUCUUCACUUCUGGAUGCACCUGUGACACUUCUGUGACUUCACAGGCUCCAAGAGCACAUUUGGAAACCUCUGGGCUGUAUGACCUCCAGGCAGGUUCUAAGGC